GGCGGGUGGACCAGCCAGAGGUGGUUCGACUCCAGCUUGCUGG
rnacentral:tRNA from 13 species